rnacentral:rRNA from 1 species
AUAUCAAUAAGCGGAGGAAAAGAAACCAACAGGGAUUGCCUCAGUAACGGCGAGUGAAGCGGCAACAGCUCAAAUUUGAAAUCUGGCCUUUACGGUCCGAGUUGUAAUUUGUAGAGGAUGUUUUGGGUACCGCCGCGGUUUAAAUUUCUUGGAACAGAAUGUCAGAGAGGGUGAGAGUCCCGUCUUGGAUCGCGGUAGGGCCUGUGUAAAACUCCUUCGACGAGUCGACUUGUUUGGGAAUGCAGGUCAAAAUGGGUGGUAAAUUUCAUCUAAAGCUAAAUAUUGGCCAGAGACCGAUAGCGCACAAGUAGAGUGAUCGAAAGAUGAAAAGCACUUUGAAAAGAGAGUUAAACAGUAUGUGAAAUUGUUGAAAGGGAAGCGCUGGCAACCAGACUCGUGCGCGGGGUUCCCCCUUGCUUCUGCUUGGGUUAUUUCCCCGUGUCCGGGCCAUCAUCAGUUUUGGGGGCCGGUUAAAGGUCUUGGGAAUGUAUCUACUCCUUCGGGGGUAGACUUAUAGCCCAGGGCGUCAUGCGGCCACCCGGGACUGAGGAACGCGCUUCGGCGAGGAUGAUGGCGUAAUGGUUGUCAGCGA